UGUGUUAUCAUGUCUAACCUGAGCGAAGAUGGAGAAAGACUGAGAUUUUUUAUUCUUUCUAUUGCAUAUUUGUUUGUAAAAUGAUCUCUCUUUAUGUGGCGUGCUGUUGUGUUGAUGAAAUAAGGCGAAAUGUGUAUGUUCUGACAGGUGGGAAUAAGAACAACUGAAAUCAACUCUGAGUAAUAUGUUUUGUUUAUUUGUUUUUUAAAUAUAUAUAAGGUACUUUUUUUGUAUUCUCAUAAAACCCCACUAUGGCAAAAGUAAAUCAGUAAAGAAUCAGUGAAUAUUUUUUUUUUUUUUUUUUUUUUUUGUGAAAUUUAUUUUAAAGGGAAAAUCGAGGACGGCUAUAAAUUGGCAGUGUGGGGCACUGAGGGCAUUAGUAGACUCUUGUUUGGGUGUUGCAAGAAAUUUCAGGAAAAAAUCACAGGCCUCUGCAAUGAACUGUCCAUGCUGUGUUACGCUGACAAGUGCUCACACUCUCUCGCCGACCAUGAUUGUCAAGAAAUCCAGAGGAAAAACCAAAGAUAUGAAGACCUGGAUGCCCAGGAAGUCUGCUGCCCCAAAGCAUUUGCUCGGCUGACUAAACUUGUUCCUCUCUGGAGAUGGAUCAGACAGGAGUUUUAUGAGUCCUGGAGAGAGAGACACUGCCAUAUCCACUCACUAACCCCAGGGCCUGGCUCAGGUGGGACAUACAGACGAAGAUUUCCUUCAGAUGAAGGUGAUAGGAGGUUCUAAGGAGGGCCUGUUUCUUCUGUGGUGGAGGCUGUGAAGGGUGAUGACUGUGGCGGUGUGUCUUCUCGGCUCUCCUCUCAGUCCAACUCCCUUGUGACCGGCAGCACGGCACUCCCAGUGCUCUCACUAGGGUCUCCAGGUUCGCUGUGCCUGCUGCAGGUGGCUGAUGAGCUGAGCUGAGAUCAGCUCAAGGUUUCUUGAAGGCCUGUGUGGACAGGAGGAGCCGCUGCUGGCCUUCAGGACUGGAAAGUAUGCGCUCUGUGGCCACAGUCCCACCUCUCAGCCUGGGAACGGAAGCAGGGAGUCGUAAGGGAAAACAAGCAGACAAUCAGGCUCCCCACCCGCUCCAAGUCUGCUGGCCAAGACGAGGUCUGAUCGGCUUGUCCCUGUGUGAACUCCAGCAGAGGUCGUGACCUUUCAUCAUAAUGGAGAAAGUAGACCACAGAGCGCUAAUUGAAACAAAAGACCUCUUUACCGUCAUCCUGGCACAACAGGGAGGUGCAACUUAUAGCCAGUGCACACAUCCUGCACUUUCCCACACAAUGACUUGGACUCGCUUAUAACUGUGACGUCAAGGCAACCAUCUAUAUCAAAAUAACAGCUCCAAAGUAAAGAAGAGGGCAUGCAUCAUUAAUGCAGCACACAUAUAGACGGAAGGGUGAUAAAGCAUACCUCUUAGGAUGUAAAACAAUGACCGUGAGACUGUGAAUGCCCUGGGCUUUGCAAUGGAUAGCUUUCCCCCACCCUCCUGCUCCAAGCGGCCACCCCCACCCCCAGCGCUGAAACCCGGCCAGCCCCAGCUGCCUGUCCAGAUGUGGGAGAAAGGAGAGGCAAGGUCCAACAGGGGAUGGAGGGCCUGAAACAGAAAGGGGCUCCAGAGAGAAUGGAGCAAAAAAGAGAAUCAAGACUUUGAGAGAGAGUAAGAUGGAAAGAUGUCAAGGGGAUGUCAAAAUUUGUUCCCAGGGUCUUUAAGCGAAAGGUGGACAAGGAAUGGAAAGGUGUCACUGGCUUCCAAUUAAUUUCUGGACAGUUCCAAAUAUGAGGAUCAAUGACAUCAAAUUGUGCCUUCUCCGAAUAGCCAGUGCAAUCAAGUCUGAUCUCAUCUCAGUGGACUGGAACAUGUCCUAUCCCAGAGAAUGCAGACUUGGCAUAGUUGUAUCCAUACAGUUGUUCCUGCUUGCCUGUGCAGGUCCUUCCAGGCCGGUCCUGAUUUAUGAACACCCCCUGAGCUCUCACUCCAUCCUGGAGGGGCUCUCUGAUUAGAGAUGGAGAAGAGAAGGCGAGUGCAAACACUCAUGCAUCCACUCGCGCACCCCAGCAUUUGGUUCUAAUUACACACGGGGGGACUCCAGGGCCGGGUGUCAUCUAGAACACGGAGCUAGAUUUACACUUGACAUGUUUUAUUCACACAGGUUGGUCCUGGCCUGGUAAUUGCAACAUAUUAUCUGGGCCGAUUCAUCAAAGGGAGCAGCCUGCUACAGUAAACUCUUAAAUGAACAACUCAUAUGGGUCGCAGACGUGAAAAGUGGAGGGUUUUAUUAGCAAAAAAAAAGAGUGAACCAACAAGUACAGUCCAAAUGCUUUAGUAAAAGAGGUGUUUGUGAAAUGUUUAUGCCUUUUUUAGAAAAACUUGGAAAUGGCCUCUGUUCUUGCAGAACAAGUUUGCGAUUUGACCAGCCAUAGUUUGGUGGCAGUAUAUUAAGUCAUGUUUUAGUUGUCUAAAAGCCAAAAUGUGCCACAUCAGAUGAGGGUAUCCCCUCUGUUAUGCUUGUUAGCCAAAGGCUACCCCUUGCUGCUUUAACAGGAGUGUUAAUAUGUGAAGCCAGUAAACACGCCAGUGGAUUUGGAGACUUAAACAUGCUGCCCUGCACUUGAUGCACUGAAGGACUAAUGCACAGAAAUGUGAAACUGGGAAGAGAUACAGUAAGUGCGUUCACAUUAGGGUUGUGCACCAUUCAGAACUGAACUGAUUUUGAAUUUUUUUUUUUUUUUUUUUUUUUUUUUUUUUUUAAAUGUUAAAAAGUAUAACUCACAGGACAGGAGGACAGACACAGACAGACAGAUAGAUAGAUAGAUAGAAUGACAGACAGACGGAUAGAUAGAUAGACAAAUAGAAUGACAGACAGACGGAUAGAUAGAUAGAUAGAUGGACGGACGGACAGAGGACAGACAGAUAGAUAUAUAGAUAGAUGAAUGGAUAGAUAGAUGCACACCGUACAGAUAGAUAGAUAGAUAGAUAGAUAGAUAGAAAGAAAAGAUGGACGGACGGACGGAUAGAUAAAUAGAAAAGAUAGAUGGAUGGAAGGAGGACAGACACAGAUAGAUAGAUAGAUAAGAUGGAUGGAUGGACGGACGGACGGAGGACAGACAUAGAUAGAUAGAUAGAUGGAUAGAUAGAAAAGAUGGACGGACGGAUGGAUAGAUAUAUAGAAAAGAUGGAUGGAUGGAAGGAGGAUAGAUAGAUAGAUAGAUAGACGGACGGAGGACAGACAGAUAGAUAGUUUUCAUCUAUCUAUCUAUCUAUCUAUCUGUAUCUGUUUCUAAUCUAUCUAUCUAUUUCUUAUCUAUCUAUUUCUAAUCUAUCUAUCUAUCUAUUUCUUCUAUCUAUCUAUCUAUCUAUCUAUCUAUCUGUAUCUGUUUCUAAUCUAUCUAUCUAUUUCUUAUCUAUCUAUCUAUCUAUCUAUCUAUUUCUAAUCUAUCUAUCUAUUUCUUAUCUAUCUAUCUAUCUAUUUCUUAUCUAUCUAUCUAUUUCUUAUCUAUCUAUCUCAUCUGACUCUAUCUAUCUAUCUCCACUAUACGUGAACCUUCUGCAGUACUCUAAACCUAUUUUAUGAGGGUGAAAGGAAAGUUCUUCAAAUGCACCCCCUCUUACAGUCUAAUCCUGCUGUAAUGAGCUUGAUUGCAUUACAUCUAGUGUCCGCCCCCCACGGCAUUCUGCCCAAACCCCCCACAGAGCAUGACAUCAGAGUACAAGCUAAGGCCGGAAAUGCGACAGGUCCCGCCACACGCAACAUGCGAGAUGCAACCUUCGACACGUACGAUGCACACCGUGCCGCCGGGAAACACAGGGACACAGCGGCACGGGCUUGAUGGACAAACCAGACCGGCACACACACAUAGACACACAUGUACAUUCUUUCGAGAGGAAAAUGGUAACAGUCAGUCCUGUGCAGUAAAAUAGAAUGGUGCACCUUCAUUGUUCUGGCCUCUGGACUCUGGCCUCGCUUCCUGACACCUUCCGUUUGGGCUCGCACACAGAUGGCCAUGGAUGUACAGGAGCAAGUGCGCCCACUCUGGCUGUCCAGACCCAAAUAGAGAGGCAUAGACGAUUGUAUAUAGCCAAGAAGAGGUAAAGCACUUGUUGACCUGGUGUGUGUGCGGAUGGUUGAUGCUAUUAGUGUAAUAAUGCCCCUAGCCUCGGAUCGGACGAGUCCCAUGUUAUCCCAUGCAGGGAGCUAUCUAUAUCAGGGAAACUCAUGGAGACGCUUAAUGCGUGUGUUUUUAUGUAAGUUUGUGAGGAGUCGCGGGGGUGUCACUGUCUGACAGGAUGCAUGGGUCAACUGUCUACGUGUGAGUGCAGCCGGGCCUGGGCCAACAGGUCAGGGUUGGGCUGCCCACAGGAAACGGCCAAGACAUUCUGGCCCAGUGCUGGGGGACUUAACCCUUGCACUGCCAGCCUGGUCGCACUCUCACUGUUGCCGGAACUGAAACUCCCGACUCCAACUCUUUCCAACUGAACUUACAGUGUAUAGUAAAUGCUACAUUUUGUUUCUGACAUAUGCUGUGUCAAUAUAGUUCAUCCAAAAAUGGAAAUUCUGUCAUCAUUUACCCACCCUCAUGUUUGUUCCAAAUCUGUCUUUUUUUUUCUUUUUUUUUUCUAUCAUUCAAAAGUUUGGGAUCAGUACGAUUUUUUUUUUUUUUACAUGUUUUUGAAAGAAGUCUCUUUUGCUCUUAUGCAAAACUGCAUUUAUUUAAUCAGAAAUACAAUUUUGUGAAAUAUUUACAUUCAGUGUUAUUUCAUUAUCAUUAAUAUACUCUUACAGUUCAUGUUAAUAUUUUGAAUUAGAUUUUAUUUUUAGAUUUUCUUUUGUGUGUUUUUGACAAUUUUAUUAUAAUUAUUUUAAAUAUGUCUGUAUAGUAUUCAUUUUUAUUUAUAAGUAUUAGUUCAUUUAGUUUUAGCUAUUUUAGUAUUUAAAUUUAAACUAAAUGAAAAUGAGCCUUGGCAACUUGCUGAAGUAAGAUCAUUUAUAUAUAUAUAUAUAUAUAUAUAUGGGAUAUAUAUAUAUAUAUAUAUAUAUAUAAGGGCUGUCAAUCGAUUAAAAUAUUUAAUCGCGAUUAAUCGAAUGAUUGUCAUGAGUUAACUUGUGAUUAAUCGCAGCUUAAUCGCACAUUUUAAUCAGUAAUCUUUACAUUAUUUCCGUAACAAAACAUCGAAAACUCAACCAAACAGCUGAUAUUUAUUUAUUUUAUAAAAUGUUUGAAAGAACAAUAACAAUUUUCAUCAUUGUGGGGUUAUCCUUUGCUGAAACUUCCUCAUCGUCGUGGAGAGCACAGUUCAUGGUUGCAUAGCAACGACAGACGCCACGGGAGCGCAAGUGCUUUGGAAAAAAGGAGAAAACGGCGCGGCUGCGCUUUCCACGCGUUUUUAGACUUGACAUGUGAACAGCCUCCUUUGCUGCAUUUCCAUUUUCCAACUACGGGCUAGGCCACGGGUCAAACAGAAAAUGUGCGCUGCGCUAAUCGCGCGUUAAUAAAAUUAGUGCUGUUAAAAUGAAUUUGCAUGAAUUUUGACAGCCCUAAUAUAUAUAUAUAUAUAUAUAUAUAUUAUUGUUUAUUUUAAGUAAUGGUUGGUUUUAGGUUUAGGUAAUGAUAAUAACCCUGAUUACAAUUUAAAGUAACUUUUCUAUUUAGUAUUUUAAAAUGUAAUGGCAAAAUUCAAAGCUGAAUUUUCAGCAUCAUUACUCCAGUCUUCAGUGUCACAUGAUCUUUCAGAAAUCAUUCUAAUAUGAUGAUUUGGUGCUCAAGAAUCAUUUCUUAUUAUUAUCAAUGUUAAAAACAGUGGUGCUGCUUAAAGGGACAGUUCACCCAAAAAUAAACAUUUUUGUUCAAUGUUUAUAUGUGAAUAAAAGCCUAAAUUCAGUCUGUUCAUCAUAUAAAGCGAUCAAGUCUCUUCAGAAAAUUUGGACUAAAUUAAUAUGGAUUAGUUUUAGAUUUAUAUUAGUUUCAUCUCUUUAUGAACUUUUUGAAGCGACAAAGUGGUAGUUGCAUGGACUGUCAAUGAAGGGACAGAAAUCGCUCAGAUUUCUUUUAAAAUUACUUAAUUUGUGUUUUGAAGAUGAAUGAAAGUCUUAUGGGUUUGGAAUGGCAUGAGGGGGAGUAAAUGAUGACAAUUUUUUUAAUUUUUGGAUUUAAUAUUUCUGUGGAAACUGUGAUACAUUUUUUCAGGAUUCUUGAUAAAUACAAAGUUCAAAAGUCUUUUGUAACAUUAUAAAUGUCUUUACUGUCAUUGUUUUUACUAAUUUAACACAUGCUGAAUAAAAGUAUCUUCUUUAAAAAAAAAAAAAAAAAUCCUACUGACCCCAAACUUUUGAACGGUAGUAUAUUAUGCAAUAUGAUAUUAAAGCAUUCAUGUAUCCAUAAUCACAGGAACAAACACAAGUCCUCAUAAGAAUGUUUGGUAUUUUCUUUCUAAAUUUAGUCUCUUAUAGUGCUCCUCCUCACCCUGGGUGUGACAGUCCAGCUUUUCAUACUGGAAACAAUGUGUAGCAGCACCUUCAUCAUGUAACGCAGCACCGCUGUCUCCCCUGCCAUAAUGGCCCCCUCUCCUUGUUCCUCGACCGAUGGCCUCUCUAGAGAUCAGUAAGGAAGGGGACUGCAGCGUUCCUCUGGCCACGAGGACACUGCGCACUGGAAUACAGGGACAGGAAGUGACUCUCAGAGAGUAGGAAUUCUCAGACAGCAGGGUCCAUGAGGAAAGGUUGACAUUUUUGGAAAGCAAAUGAUGUUGUGAUGUGCCAUCAACAGCCUGCAGGAAAUGGUGGUCUUUAAUGGGUCACGUUUACGUUGUUCAGCCUAAUGGAUUUUUAUAAAUAGGUCAUGGAUGAAUCACUCACAUCAAGCCUGCUAAAAUGUAUAUUUUUAGUGUGUUUUGACUACUUAAUAUAUAAACUCACACAGUUGCUGCACAUCCAUGAUGUGAAUCUCCCGUUUCACCACAUCCCAGAGUUGUUUUGUUGGAUUGAGAUCUGGUGACUGUGGAGGCCAUUUGUGUGUAGUGAACUCAUUGUCAUGUUCAAGAAACUAGUUUGAGAUGAUUUGAGCUUUGUGACAUGGCGCAUAAUCAUACUGGAAGUAGCCAUCAGAAGAUACACUGUGGUCAUAAAGGGGUGGACAUGGUCGGCAACAAUACUCACGUAGGCUGUGGCAUUUAAACUAUGUUCAAUUGGUAUAAGGGGCCAAAGUGUACCAAGAAAAUAUCCCCCUCACCAUUAAACCACCAGCAGCAGCCUGAACUGCUGAUACAGUCAGGAUGGAUCCAUGUUUUCAUGUAGUUUAAGCCAAAUUCUGACCCUACCAUCUGAAAUUGCAGCAGAAAUCGAUACUUGUCAGACCAGGCAACAUUUUCCCAAUCUUCUGUUGUCCAAUUUUGGUGAGCCCAUGUGAAUUGUAGCUUCAGUGUCCUGUUCUUAGCUGACAGGAGUGGCACCCAGUGUGGCUGUAGCCCAUAUGCUUCAAGGUUCGACGUGUUGUUCAUUCAGAGAUGCUUUUCUGCAGAUCUCGGUUGUAAUGAGUGGUUAUUUGAGUUAUUGUUGCCUUUCUAUCAGCUUGAGCCAGUCUGGCCAUUCUCCUCUGGCAUCAACAAGGCAUUUUCGCAAAACUGCUGCUCACUGGAUAUAUUCUCUUUUCUGGAUCAUUUUCUGUAAACCCUAGAGAUGGCUGUGCUUGAAAAUCACAGUAGAUCAUCAGUUUCUGAAAUGCCACGUUCAAAGUCACUUAAAGGGUUAGUUCACCCAAAAAUGAAAAUUCUGUCAUUAAUUACUCACCCUCAUGUCGUUCUACACCCAUAAGAACUUC